GGGAAGAAAUAAACUUCAACACAGGAGGAGCAGAAAUCUAUUAUCUACUACCUGUUACUGGGUGAGGAGAUAAUAAAUAUCUGACAAAGAGGACAUCCAUCAUCGGUUAGGAUGAACAUAUCAAGGAUGACUUGCUGAGGAAAACCAUGAGGGAGUAUUCAUUACCGGUUACUGGGUAAGAAUAGCCUUGCUGGGGAAAACUGUAGAAAAUAGGAUUUACAACUACCAGUUACUGGGUAGAAGACCAAAGGUGAGAAUAUCCGUCAUCGGUUAGGAUACACAUAUCAAGGAUAGACUCAACAGGGAAGA
rnacentral:lncRNA from 1 species